rnacentral:lncRNA from 1 species
GAACUUAAUUGAAUGGAUGAGAAUCCAGUUGUUUUCAGCAGAUUGAUCUUUCAAUGCAAUAAAACAAGGAGAGACUGGUAAAGCAAGUGGAUAGCUGUGUAACCUGGGGUAAAUUAUUUAACCCUUCCUUGCCUUAAUUUCUUCAUUUAUAAAAUUGAAAGAUAAUAAUAAUACCUAUCUCACAGAGUUAUUGAGAGAGCAAAAUGGCAUCACAUAUAUAGAGCUUUGUAAACUUCACAGUGUUAUGUAAAACUAUGAUGAUGAUAAUGAUGAUGGUGGUGGUGGUGAUGAUGAUGAUGGUGAUGAUGAUGGUGAUGAUGACGAUGACUAUUACACUGACCCAGGCAUGAGACAACAAAGGCUUUGACAAGGUUAAUUAAUGUUAGUGAGAAUGUAAGUUUUGGUUGGAGGGUAAAAUCAUGAAGGCUUGGUUACUAUAUAUGAUGAUAUUGAGGAAGGAAAAGAAUGACAAAAUCUUGAAGUCACUGCAACCUCAGAAGCCUUGUAGAACAACAUGAUAUGGACCCACAACUUGCUCUUCUUAAACUUUGAAGAAUGAAAGAGAAGUCCCACUGCUUCUCAGGAAGCCCAUCUCACUUUCACAGAGUUUUCAUGGGAAGAAAACUUUUCCUUACAUAGAACCGAAUCUUCCUCUGCAACCUCCACCUCUAGUAAACAUCCUGGUUUUCCCCUCAGGAGCCAAGAAAAAGUCAUCUAUAUUCCUUUUAUAUCACAGUCCUUCACGAUGACUGAAGUUCUGAGUGAGUUAUCGGAAAAGUGGUGGGACCUUAUUUUCCACCAAGGAAAAAAAAAAGAAAUUAGGAGAGAGGACGCUGUUUUAGUGAACCCUGGAUGUAUGUGAAUCAAGGACUCACAUUGAGGACCAGCUAGACUUUGGUGCCCAGGAAUACUCUGAACAAUGGUUCAUUGUUCUUAUGGCAAAAUUCAAUUUCAAUAAAAACCGAUCACUUAAUAACUGAAUCUCA